rnacentral:lncRNA from 1 species
CGGGAUUCCAUUAGGAAUGUUUGAGUUAAAUUUAGUGCAUGUAAGAAAAGACUUUGGCUCCAGGGCCUGUCCUCAGGGCUUGCACACAGCAGGUUAAGGAUUUAUUGGAUUAUGAAGCAUUGUAAACCACCGCUUACUAACAACCAGCUGCACUCAUGGCCUGUUUGUAAGCCACCAAGAAGUCUGGAGGCCCAGUGCCAUUGCAUCUGAAACAGUCCCAAGUUUUGCAAUAGUCUCAGCUUCCUGCUCAGGGACUCCUCAUCCUGAAGCUGACCUAGAACUUGAGGCUUUCUUAGCAGCUCUAAUGGCAUAUCGACAAUAAAAAUGUUACC